rnacentral:rRNA from 1 species
AUUGAACGCUGGCGGCAGGCCUAACACAUGCAAGUCGAGCGAGAGGCGGACGGGUGAGUAAUGUAUGGGGAACUGCCCGAUCGAGGGGGAUAACUACUGGAAAAGGUGGCUAAUACCGCCAACUCUCGGUGGAACCCAUAUGGGAUGAGCGAGUAGGUGGGGUAUAGGCUCACAUAGGCGACGAUCUCUAGCUGGUCUGAGAGGAUGACCGGCCACACUGGAACUGAGACCAGGCCCAGACUCCAACGGGAGCAAGCAGUGGGGAUUUUUGGACAAUGGGCGCAAGCCGGCUGCAGACAUGCCGCGUGGAUGAGGAGGGCCUUAGGUUGGUAAAGUACUUUCAUCGGGGAGGCGGUACCCGAAGAAGAAGCACCGGCUAACUCCGUGCCAGCAGCCGCGGUAAUUC